GAUGAAGUUAGAAACAGAAGAAAAUUAUUUCGCGCGUUGUACGCAAGUUGUUUUGCGCAGGCGGUUAAAUACGAAAUUGAAUUGUAAAAUCACGCGGAUUAGAAUAUGAUACAUCGUAUAAAUAAAAUUAUCAAUUUUCAUCUGAAAGAAAGAAAAGAAAAAAAAAGUAUUAAACGUCGCGCAUGCGCACAACGAAGAAAGUGCUUUGCCAGAAAGAGAAAACGAUAUUGUCUGUACCGUGAUAUUUUCGGCCGUUUCUCGAGCCAAUUGAAACUUUAAGUCUUAAACAUAUAUAGUUUAUAAGAACGCAAAGAUAAAGAGAAAAAGAAAAAGAGAGAAAGAGAGAGAGAGAGAGAGAGAAAGAGAGAAACUAAAAUGGCGGUCGUACACAUGGGAACGAAUUAUUUCAAUACAAUAUUCUCGCGCGCUUUUAUCUCGCUUGUGGGAACUAUUUCAAAAUUGUUUGGUACUGUUUAUUUAUUUGAACGAAAAAGAAGUCGACAACACGUAUAUAUGGUUACUUCUUAUUCAUUAACGAAGGUUCUGUCACGAGAAUUGGAGUAAUGGGAGUAGUGGGAAUGGCGGGACUAAUGGGAUCUGAGGUCUUAGGACAACUGGAGUUAAAUGGAGUUUUGUGUAUCUGUAUAAUAUAUGUAUAAUGUAUACAAUCUCUCGUUCUCUCUCUUUCUCUCUCUCUUUCUUUCUUUCU